GACGAACGCUGGCGGCGUGCUUAAUACAUGCAAGUAGAACGCUGAAGGAGGAGCUUACUUCUCUGGAUGAGUUGCGAACGGGUGAGUAACGCGUAGGUAACCUGCCUGGUAGCGGGGGAUAACUAUUGGAAACGAUAGCUAAUACCGCAUAAGAGUAGAUGUUGCAUGACAUUUACUUAAAAGGGUCAAUUGCACCACUACCAGAUGGACCUGCGUUGUAUUAGCUAGUUGGUGGGGUAACGGCUUACCAAGGCGACGAUAAAUAGCCGACCUAGGGGGGUGAUCGGCCACACUGGGACUGAGACACGGCCCAGACUCCUACGGGAGGCAGCAGUAGGGAAUCUUCGGCAAUGGACGGAAGUCUGACCGAGCAACGCCGCGUGAGUGAAGAAGGUUUUCGGAUCGUAAAGCUCUGUUGUAAGAGAAGAACGAGUGUGAGAGUGGAAAGUUCACACUGUGACGGUAUCUUACCAGAAAGGGACGGCUGACUACGUGCCAGCAGCCGCAGUAA
rnacentral:rRNA from 1 species